rnacentral:pre_miRNA from 1 species
AGCCCUCUAUAUCUGUGCUGAGAUUUCGUCACACACCAGACUACAAGGGCUGAUGAGACUUCCAAGACAAGUGAAUCG